rnacentral:rRNA from 1 species
UACGUAGGGGGCAAGCGUUGUCCGGAAUUAUUGGGCGUAAAGCGCGCGCAGGCGGUUUUGUAAGUCUGGUGUUUAAUCUCGGGGCUCAACCCCGAUUCGCAUUGGAAACUGCAAGGCUUGAGUGCAGAAGAGGAAAGUGGAAUUCCACGUGUAGCGGUGAAAUGCGUAGAGAUGUGGAGGAACACCAGUGGCGAAGGCGACUUUCUGGACUGUAACUGACGCUGCGGCGCGAAAGCGUGGGGAGCAAACAGG